rnacentral:rRNA from 1 species
GACGAACGCUGGCGGCGUGCUUAACACAUGCAAGUCGAACGAAGUGGCGAACGGGUGAGUAACGCGUAAUCAACCUGCCCUUCAGAGGGGGACAACAGAUGGAAACGACUGCUAAUACCGCAUACUGAAGGAGGGUAUUGCGUCUGAUUAGCUAGUUGGAGGGGUAACGGCCCAACAAGGCGAUGAUCAGUAGCCGGUCUGAGUGGAUGUACGGCCACAUUGGGACUGAGACACGGCCCAGACUGCUACGGGAGGCAGCAGUGGGGAAUCUUUCGCAAUGGACGAAAGUCUGACGGAGCAACGCCGCGUGCGUGAUGACGGCCUUCGGGUUGUAAAGCUCUUUUACUCGGCACGCGGUACCGGAAUAGAAAGCCACGGCUAACUACGUGCCAGCCGCCGCGGUAAUUC